ACUAAAUAGAUACCCUGGUAGUCCACGCCGUAAACGAUGAUCACUCGCUGUUAGCGAUACACAGUUAGCGGCUAAAGCAAAAGCAUUAAGUGAUCCACCUGGGGAGUACGGCCGCAAGGCUGAAACUCAAAGGAAUUGACGGGGGCCCGCACAAGCGGAGGAACAUGUGGUUUAAUUCGAUGAUACGCGAGGAACCUUACCUGGGCUUAAAUGUAGAGUGCAUUCCCGAGAAAUCGGGAUUUCCUUCGGGACUUUCUGCAAGGUGCUGCAUGGUUGUCGUCAGCUCGUGCCGUGAGGUGUCGGGUUAAGUCCCAUAACGAGCGCAACCCUUACUCGUUAGUUGUCCAGCGGGUAAGUGCCGGGAACGUCUAACGAAACUAGCCGGUGUAACCGAGAGGAAGGUGGGGAUGACGUCAAACUCAGCACGGCCCGUUACUGUCCAGGGCUA
rnacentral:rRNA from 1 species